rnacentral:lncRNA from 1 species
UUCAAGUGACGUAUUGAUAAGUUAGAUCAGUUAAACUUAUCAAUACUCCCAUCAUGAUACUCAUCAUGAUGUAUCUCUUCAAGGAUGAUGUCAAGGCUUGACAUACAUCAUCAAGUUUGUAUGAUUGUGUUUGUAACUAUUCAUCAUAUAGUUUGAACAUUAUCAUAUAAAGCUGUGAAGCACUAUUACAUGAUGCACACAUUUGAAAUAUUCUAGCAAGUUUUGCAUUUUCUUCACAUGAUAAGAUAUCAACUCAGGGCAUAAUGCAAACUUUAGCACAUGUUCAUAUAUCUCUUGGUGAUGCAAGGAUGGCAUAAUCAUAGCAGUGUUUAUCAAUUCAUAUAUCUCCCCCUUUGUCAUCAACAAAAAACAUUAUGAUACCAGGAAAGUAACAAUAGCAAGCUUAUAGAGGAAUUUUACAUUGAUUGCUUUAAAUACUUCUUCCCCUUUUAUAAAGAUUUU